rfam:TPA: Bos taurus chromosome 19, whole genome shotgun sequence.
UCACUGGCAGUCUAGUGGUUAAGACUCCACACUUCCAAUGCAAAGGGCCCAGGUUUGAUCCCUGGUCAGGGAA